rnacentral:rRNA from 1 species
UACGGGGGGAGCAAGCGUUGUUCGGAUUUACUGGGCGUAAAGGGCGCGUAGGCGGUCGUGACAAGUCACUUGUGAAAUCUCCGGGCUUAACUCGGAACGGUCAAGUGAUACUGUCGGACUAGAGUACAGAAGGGGCAACUGGAAUUCUCGGUGUGGCGGUGAAAUGCGUAGAUAUCGAGAGGAACACCGAUGGCGAAGGCAGGUCUCUGGGCCGAUACUGACGCUGAGGAGCGAAAGCGUGGGGAGCGAACAGG